CCUUGUGGACAGUAGUCUUAUGGUUGUUCUGGCAAUCUUAAGCAUAUGCAUAGUUGUGGCCUAUGUAUUAUGUACAUUGUGUUAAAUUGAACUUCACACCUCAGUCACACAUCUGAGGCCUGUUUCAGGUAGCUGGUUUAACAAUACAUACUCUGAGUUUAAUCCUGCGCUCUGAGUUGGUUGACACAGAGUUCAGGGUUGAAAAGCAACUCUGGGUUUUCGGUUUCAGAACAGGUGAUCAGCGUUGGGUUAAUCAACUCUGAGUAUGUUCACUCUGGGUUGAGGGCGUGCCUGUUGACUAUGAAGAGCCAUCAUCAUUGGAUCUCUGAUAACAUGAUCAAACAUGGACCAAAAGCGUAUAUCCACUUACUUUUCCCCCACGGAAUUGGAAAUUCUAAUGAACGUGUAUGCCGAGCAGUUACCCAUUUUAACAAAAAAAAGCAAUACCGCCGCGGCAGCGAGAGCGCGAGAGAGCUUGGCAGGAAAUAGCUGAACAAGUCAAUGCGUGAGUCAAAUAAAUUAGUAAAAUAAAAUAAGAGGAAAGUUUAAUAUCUUCCACUUAUUCAAUAUGUAAAUUGUGUGUGUGUGUGUGUGUGUGUGUCUCAAUUUACGCAACCCUGAGUUGCCCCACGAGGACUUGGCAGCAAAUGAAGUACAAAAAUAUAGUUUAAACAGGUAAACUAAUGUUUAAUUGAAAUCAAAUCAAUUGUGCUGUUUUGCCUGCUCUACCUAAUUUAACAGCUAUGUUCAACAUGUAUUAUAUAUAUGUAUACUAUAUUUAAGCAGUAAAUGUAAGUAGUACAUUUCCCAGCCACCCCAACACUGCCAAUAUGUAAUAGGAUUUAGAAGGCUACACCUAGGCAAAAAUGCAUUAUAAAUAUAUAUGUGUCUUCAAAAUAGCGCUUACUGAAUAUUAGGGUAACAUUUUCCUCCAUGUUAGCAAAUCGAAAAAAUGCAGAGGCCCGGCAGACUGGAGGGGGUCCACCACCUGUAGCCCUCACAGAGGCUGAGGAGAUGGCCCUCAGCCAACAGAGUAUGCGUCCUGUGGCUGAGGGCAUCCCUGGGGGGAGCUCCUCUGAUCCCCCCCACCCCCCAAGAUAGAAGUGCCUUUACAGUAUAAGAGUUACUGAUGGCGUCAUCGCCCUACUUGAACCAGAUGCCCUCACCAACCUCCAUGCAAUUGUAACAAUUCAAAAGAUGUAAAAGGAUGCUUUGGAGAUCCAAAUUUUGGAACAUAAGUUAAAGG